GACGAACGCUGGCGGCGUGCUUAACACAUGCAAGUCGAACGGUAAGGCCUUCGGGUACACGAGUGGCGAACGGGUGAGUAACACGUGGGUGAUCUGCCCUGCACUUUGGGAUAAGCCUGGGAAACUGGGUCUAAUACCGGAUAGGACCAUGGACUUCACGGUUUGUGGUGGAAAGCUUUUGCGGUGUGGGAUGGGCCCGCGGCCUAUCAGCUCGUUGGUGGGGUAAUGGCCUACCAAGGCGACGACGGGUAGCCGGCCUGAGAGGGUGUCCGGCCACACUGGGACUGAGAUACGGCCCAGACUCCUACGGGAGGCAGCAGUGGGGAAUAUUGCACAAUGGGCGCAAGCCUGAUGCAGCGACGCCGCGUGGGGGAUGACGGCCUUCGGGUUGUAAACCUCUUUCAGCAGGGACGAAGCGCAAGUGACGGUACCUACAGAAGAAGCACCGGCCAACUACGUGCCAGCAGCCGCCGUAAUAC
rnacentral:rRNA from 1 species